rnacentral:tRNA from 1 species
UGCGGGUGUGGCGGAAUUGGCAGACGCGCUAGAAUCAGGAUCUAGUGCCUUCGGGCGUGGGGGUUCAAGUCCCUUCAUCCGCAUCC